rnacentral:lncRNA from 1 species
AAUAAUGAUUUAUUAUAGUAUAACGGAAACCAUGAAUAUACAAAGAAUUCUAUCAUCUUUACACGCCGAAUAUAAAGUUCUGAUUUAGACAAUAAAGUACAUAAAGACCAUAAUACUACAGAGGUAUCAUUUGCAAUGAAAAGCGAAAAGAGACAGAAAGUUCACGAUUCUCUCUCUAAAAAAAAAUCCUCUCUAAAAAAACCCUAAUUUCCAGAUCUGUUUGGGUGGCCGGCGGCUUCUUGUCGUCUCCGGUCCGCCCCCUCCUCCUUAUGUUUUUUUUUUCUUGUUCCUCGUCGCUCCUCCUCCCCUCUAUUCUCUCGUUUCCUUUCAUGGCGCUCUGGACUUUGCGUCACCGCGGUUCUAGAUCUGGCGUAUUUUGGCUUUGGAGUCCCGGAGAAACGUGACGGUAGAGGUGUGGAGUGGUUUCUCUGGUUAAGCGUGGUGGCGGUGGUCUCGAUCUGGGUCAGAUCUUGAUUCCGGAAGGGCUCUUCUCCUUCCUCUGUUUCCAUUGCUUCUCCUUCUCGGCGUGGGUGAGUUGGCUCGCUCGAUCUGAGCCGUUGUUGGUUUCUUCGGGGCAGUGGAGGGGCGGUGUUCUUCUGUAUCGCUCCUGGUCUCCGAUGGCGUGUUCUUUUAGAUCUGUGAGUCUGUCUCGCUGAAGAUCCUCCGGAGUUGCUUUUGGUCCGAAGCUGAGAAGAUCUGGAGCGGGUUCUCCGUUACAGGCCGCGUGCGAGGAGGAGAGUUGGUGGAGUUGUCAACCGCGGCUUUCUUCCUUGGUGACGGCGCGUGCUGAGCCAGCAAGCUUCAGGGGAAUGAUCUAGGGCUGCCCUCUGACCACCUUCGACUCAAGGUGGUACUUGCUAGCUCUGUCUUUUUUGUGUAGGUUCAUAGGCGUGUGGCGUCUCCUGGUUGUUCUUCUUCCCAAAUAAAGCUCAGCCUUCGUCUUCACCGGUGUUCUAGACCAUGGGUUUUGCGGUCUGACUUGACUGGUUGCAGAUUGAGGUGUGUCGCAAGCUGUUCUUGGUGAGCUAAAUUUUAAAGACCUGUUCAUCGGGGAGGCCAAAAUUACCGGGCUCAGGAUCUCGUAUUAACUGUGGUUCUCUCUUUUGCGGCAAGCGUCAGGUCCGAUUCUGCUGUGUCUCGUUUAGCUGUUGUCUCUAAUGUCUGUCCUUGUGAGUCUUAGUAUGAGUGUCUGUUUAGUUGCUUUCAAUUACUCUGCUUCUAGUUUCCUCUGUCCUUCUGUAACAAAUUUGAAAAACCGGUGAUUAAUCUUAACAUUGUUACAAAAAAAAAGGUAUCAUUUGCAACAAACUGUUACAGUUGGUGAAAAUGUUGUUUACACAGACGAAAUGACUGACUUU